GAGAGAGAGAGAGUGUGUGUGUGUGUGUGUGUAUGAGAGUGAGUGUGUAUGCACGUGUACGUGCGUGUGCCUCGUCUACGUGGCUGUUUGGUGAGUCAGUAAAAUCCAGAUGAUUCGAAUUUCUCCAAGUUCAGGUUGCAAAUCCUUAUAAAGUAUUUUCUAGUCCUUUGCCUGUGAGAAUGUGAUUGUGUUUUUUCCAGAGACGAAAGUCUUAUAUAAGCCAUCCUGGAAGCUCAGUGUGUGCUGUCUCCAGAUGCUCUCAGUGCUGUGCAAACAAACUAGCCUUGCCUCUCGCCACUUACUUAGGUUUGCUCUUGACUCCACUUCUCCCUAAUAUGGUAUCCUAUACAGGUUGGUAGCCACGCUUCUCACCUGCAGUCCUCCUCUCAGCUGCUCUGUCAAGACCACCCGCACCUCCCUCUCACAUCCCCAAACCAUCCCUCAUAUUAUUCAAGUUCCAUCUCCUCAAUAUAUUCAGAGCACAGUUGCUUCUCACUGCCACUCUUCUGUGCUGUGAUCCUGGCUGAAGCUGUUUCUAUUUCCUCUUCUCUUCUCCUCUCUCUCUCUCUCUCUCUCUCUCUCUCUCUCUCUCUCUCUCUCUCUCGUGUGUGUGUGUGUGUGUGUGUGUCUUCAUCCAACCUUGCCUCUUACAGUCCGUUCUCAGAAUAGCAGCUGAAGAUAAGCCCCUUCAGAUCGGGGGCUUUCAUCACCUGGGAUCCUCUAAGGCUUCCAAGUCUCUGUGAAAUCCAGCCUCAUCUUCUUCCCUGCCUGCCUUCACCUCCAUUUCCCUCAGCCGUGUUUCUGUCAGAUCUCUGAGGAUAUGCUGGCGGUUUGCUCUUUCCCCUAUUGUAAAGGGAGGUUUCAUGUAUGUUUGUUUGUUUUGUUUUGUUUCCCUGUUGGUUUUCCUAGUUCUCUUCCCGUGCCUGCUAGACUAUUUACUACCUGUACUCUCUCCACACGUCAGCCUUCCCCCAAUCAUCCUGCUUUCCAGAACAGUUUCCAGCCUUCUGAAAGUGCUUAAUAAAUGCAUGUUUACUGAAGACAGCUAUGCUGACCGUGCCAACAUAUCCUAACCCAUUAUAUCAUACUAGUUCCAUCCCCUCAGUAUAUUCCGAGCACAGUUGCUGCUUACUGCCACUCUUCUGUGCUGUGGCCCUGGCCAAAGCUGUUUACAUCUCUUCUUCUCUAGAUAUAAUAUAAGGUAUCACUAUAACUAUAAGGUGUUAAGGUGUACAGCAGUCUUGCCCUAAUUAUGGGGCAAUGGGUUCCAAUGUCCCACAGCGAAUGCCUGAAACCACAAACAGUACCAAGCUCUAUGUGCACUUCUCCAUUUUUCUUCUUCCUGUAAAGACAACUGAUAAAGUUUAAUUUAUGUUAAAGGAGGUCACAAUGCAUAAUGAAUUAUGGACAAUAGAUUAUGAUAGAAUUGCCAACUUCGGUACAAUUAAGGGUGAAGACAUUAUUGAGUACAAUAGGGACGACCUGAGCACAGCCCAUCUGAUAAUGAGGACGCUCUGAGUGACUAACAAGAGGGAGUUACGUUUACUGUGGACCCACUGUUAAAGGGGGUGAUUCAGAUCCCAGCUGCAUAGAACGGACAAUAUGGGCUUUGAUUCUGCUUACCAGAGGGUGUGCAAGGUAUCACUUAUGCAUAGCUUGCUUCAUCCAUUUUCAUUUAAUAUUUUCAGACAUGAGCCACUAACACCAUUGGAAGUGAAAUAAGGGGUAAGGGGGGCACUACAUCACCUCGGUGUUUUACACUUUGAUUUUAUACACAUUAGCUGAGGAGGAGCUAGGAAAAUGGUACUUGACAGGCAGGUUGAGAAAAUGUGAUUUGAUGGUGGUCCAAGGGGAACGGAGUGAUCUCUAAUCCUGGGGUGUUAUUUUUAGAGUCAUUUUUCAGGAUGUAAUGAGAUUGCUGCCACUAAGAGUCCAUGACAGGACUGGAAGUUUCGACGCUGUUCUCUUGGCCUCCUCCCAAUCUGGAUCAUUAUAUCCUGCUUAUCCAAAUACUUCCUGUUCUUCCAGUUAGAAAAUGUUGCUUUCCUUUCCUCUCCUGAAAAGCCCUCUGUUAAAAAAGAAUUGCUAACCAAUUACUACUGUCUUUACCCCCCAGCCCCAGUGUGCUGUUGGGUAAAAGGUGUGUCUUCUCCAACAGGUAGCUAGACCCACUCAAGAAGAAGCAACCUCAUACUGAAAGCUUCGGCCCAUUUUCCAAUAAACUGUAAUAAAGCUUUUUGUUCCCCCUCCCUGAACCAUCUCCAUCCCUUUGCUUAUCAUUUUAUCAUAGGAUAUGCAAACCACUCAUUAGCAAGCUUACAGCAACUUAUUUAGUUAGAAAACCAACUCUGGUUUGUUUGUUUGUUUGUCUGUCUGUCUGUCUGUCUGUCUGCCUGUCUCUCAGAAGGUAGCUAGCUCAGAAGGGUUUCAGUCUCCAGCAAACAGGAGUUCCGAUGUCUUUCAUUAAGUUACAGCUGGCACUGCACAGCCGCCCGAAGCCCCAGUCAGUGCGCCGUGCGCCAGGCUCAAGCUCAGUCCUCAUUCAGUGUUUCUACAAAUAAAUCUGCCAUUUUAUAGCAACUCGAAUUUUCCUUUGAUUACAGAAAUAAGCUCUUAUUGUGAGGUUCGAAAUGCAGAGAUUGGAGCUGAGUUCGGGCAAUUUCCAUCCCACUCAUUAUACUUUCUUCAGGUUGUAAAUACUUGGCGAGGUUUGUAAAUUAUACUUUGUGACUAAGCUACCAAACAAGCACUUGGCUAAAUAUUGCCCAAAUCACAUUAUGAAAAGCAGUAAGCGGUGUUCUUUUUGGGGGUAGAAAAAUGAUAGUAGGGUGUGUGAUUUAUUGCAGGCAAUAAAAUACCGUUUUAAGAAACCGAGUUGACUGUUAGAGGUAUUUGGCUUGCCCUUGGAUUAUGUUGACUAACUACAGAGGUUGCUGGAGAAGGAAGGGAUUUACUUUUUGUUUUACUGGGAAAACAAAAGCAGGCUCUCACUUCCUUCUGUUGGCUCUGCUAACAUCCUCCAUAACCUCAAAGACCUCAGUGUAGUUCCUGUGUGAAUGUUCAAGCACUGAGGAGCUUGAAGGAGUCAGACUCAGCUUUAGCCAGGGUCUUCGAAAAAUGCUGAUUCUCAGACGCCCUCCUUGCCUAAUAAUGAGAAACUUUAUUGAGUCUAGGAAAGUCUUAACAGACNUCCCGGCAUUCUGGCAGUUGGAGUUUGAAACGAAUUGGAAUACUAUGCAAGUAGAUUUAAACCCCAAGUCACCAAUUUUCAAGCUCUCACAGUGAAAAGCAGUCUACAGCAUACAAGUAGACAAAUGGAACUCCCUUCUCUAUCAGCUUGCACAUGAAUUCACCAAGGCAGAACAAGAAAAGGCAUCUGGGGGUAAAUUGGCAUCUGUGACUCUAGAGAGCUCUCACUUGCUUUCGCAGCACCCCAUGUUAAAAGUCUUUCAUAAGGUAGUUUUUGUUAGUUUGGGUAUGGUAUGCCCAGGGUCUAUUGUGUAUUCUUGGAAAAUGUUCUACCACUGAA
rnacentral:sRNA from 1 species